rnacentral:rRNA from 1 species
AGAGUUUGAUCCUGGCUCAGAACGAACGCUGGCGGCAUGCCUAACACAUGCAAGUCGAACGAGAUCUUCGGAUCUAGUGGCGCACGGGUGCGUAACGCGUGGGAAUCUGCCCAAGGGUACGGAAUAACUCCUCGAAAGGGGUGCUAAUACCGUAUGAUGCCGUAAGGCCAAAGAUUUAUCGCCUUUGGAUGAGCCCGCGU